rnacentral:rRNA from 1 species
CCUUUGGGGUGUGACUGCGUACCUUUUGUAUAAUGGGUCAGCGACUUAUAUUCUGUAGCAAGGUUAACCGAAUAGGGGAGCCGGAGGGAAACCGAGUCUUAAUUGGGCGUUAAGUUGCAGGGUAUAGACCCGAAACCCGGUGAUCUAGCCAUGGGCAGGUUGAAGGUUGGGUAACACUAACUGGAGGACCGAACCGACUAAUGUUGAAAAAUUAGCGGAUGACCUGUGGCUGGGGGUGAAAGGCCAAUCAAACCGGGAGAUAGCUGGUUCUCCCCGAAAGCUAUUUAGGUAGCGCCUCGUGAAUUCAUCUCCGGGGGUAGAGCACUGUUUCGGCUAGGGGGCCAUCCCGGCUUACCAACCCGAUGCAAACUGCGAAUACCGGAGAAUGUUAUCACGGGAGACACACGGCGGGUGCUAACGUCCGUCGUGAAGAGGGAAACAACCCAGACCGCCAGCUAAGGUCCCAAAGUCAUGGUUAAGUGGGAAACGAUGUGGGAAGGCCCAGACAGCCAGGAUGUUGGCUUAGAAGCAGCCAUCAUUUAAAGAAAGCGUAAUAGCUCACUGGUCGAGUCGGCCUGCGCGGAAGAUGUAACGGGGCUAAACCAUG